rnacentral:rRNA from 1 species
AUUGAACGCUGGCGGCAGGCCUAACACAUGCAAGUCGAGCGGAGCUGCGGACGGGUUAGUAAUGCCUCGUACUCUGCCUGGUAGUGGGGGAUAACGUCCGGAAACGGGCGCUAAUACCGCAUACUAUCAGAUGAGCCUAGGUCGGAUUAGCUAGUUGGUGGGGUAAAGGCCUACCAAGGCGACGAUCCGUAACUUGUCUGAGCGGAUGAUCAGUCACACUGGAACUGAGACACGGUCCAGACUCCUACGGGAGGCAGCAGGGGGGAAUAUUGGACAAUGGGCGAAAGUCUGAUGCAGCCAUGCCGCGUGUGUGAAGAAGGUCUUCGGAUUGUAAAGCACUUUAAGUUGGGAGGCGUUACUAACAGAGUAAGCACCGGCUAACUUCGUGCCAGCAGCCGCGGUAAUAC